rnacentral:rRNA from 1 species
CAGCAGCCGCGGUAAUACGUAGGUGGCAAGCGUUGUCCGGAAUUAUUGGGCGUAAAGGGCUCGCAGGCGGUUUCUUAAGUCUGAUGUGAAAGCCCCCGGCUCAGCCGGGGAGGGUCAUUGGAAACUGGGAAACUUGAGUGCAGAAGAGGAGAGUGGAAUUCCACGUGUAGCGGUGAAAUGCGUAGAGAUGUGGAGGAACACCAGUGGCGAAGGCGACUCUCUGGUCUGUAACUGACGCUGAGGAGCGAAAGCGUGGGGAGCGAACAGGAUUAGAUACCCCAGUAGUCCCUGUCUCUUAUAU